GUGAGGAAUAUUGCGCAAUGGAGGCAACUCUGACGCAGCCAUGCCGCGUGCAGGAAGAAGGCGCUACGCGUUGUAAACUGCUUUUGUACGGAACGAAACGGUCCGGGUUAAUACCCUGGGCUAAUGACGGUACCGUAAGAAUAAGCACCGGCUAACUACGUGCCAGCAGCCGCGGUAAUACGUAGGGUGCAAGCGUUAAUCGGAAUUACUGGGCGUAAAGCGUGCGCAGGCGGUUUUGUAAGACAGGCGUGAAAUCCCCGGGCUCAACCUGGGAAUUGCGCUUGUGACUGCAAGGCUGGAGUGCGGCAGAGGGGGAUGGAAUUCCGCGUGUAGCAGUGAAAUGCGUAGAUAUGCGGAGGAACACCGAUGGCGAAGGCAAUCCCCUGGGCCUGCACUGACGCUCAUGCACGAAAGCGUGGGGAGCAAACAGGAUUAGAUACCCGUGUAGUCC
rnacentral:rRNA from 1 species